UACAGAGGUGCCAAGCGUUUAGGCGGAAUCACUGGGCUUAAAGCGCGUGUAGGUGGACGGGUAAGUAUCUUGUGAAAUCCCACGGCUCAACCGUGGAACUGCUGGAUAUACUGCUUGUCUUGAGGCACUUAGGGGCAGCUGGAACAAAUGGUGGAGCGGUGAAAUGCGUAGAUAUCAUUUGGAACGCCCAAAGGCGAAAGCAGGCUGCUGGGAGUGAUCUGACACUGAGACGCGAAAGCCAGGGAGCAAACGGG
rnacentral:rRNA from 1 species